ACAGGACGUCACAGAGGGUGAGAAUCCCGUACGUGGUCGCUAGCCUCCGCCGUGUAAAGCCCCUUCGACGAGUCGAGUUGUUUGGGAAUGCAGCUCUAAAUGGGAGGUAAAUUUCUUCUAAAGCUAAAUACUGGCCAGAGACCGAUAGCGCACAAGUAGAGUGAUCGAAAGAUGAAAAGCACUUUGGAAAGAGAGUCAAAUAGCACGUGAAAUUGUUGAAAGGGAAGCGCUUGCAGCCAGACUUGCCUGUAGUUGCUCAUCCGGGCUUUUGCCCGGUGCACUCUUCUACAGGCAGGCCAGCAUCAGUUUGGGCGGUUGGAUAAAGGUCUCUGUCACGUUCCUCUCUUCGGGGAGGCCAUAUAGGGGAGACGACAUACAACCAGCCUGGACUGAGGUCCGCGCAUUUGCUAGGAUGCUGGCGUAAUGGCUGUAAGCGGCCCGUCUUGAAACACGGACCAAGGAGUCUAACAUCUAUGCGAGUGUUUGGGUGUCAAGCCCGAACGCGUAAUGAAAGUGAACGGAGGUGGGAACCCUUGGGUGCACCAUCGACCGAUCCUGAUGUCUUCGGAAGGAUUUGAGUAAGAGCAUGGCUGUUGGGACCCGAAAGAUGGUGAACUAUGCUUGAAUAGGGU
rnacentral:rRNA from 1 species